rnacentral:rRNA from 1 species
GACGUAGGGCGCGAGCGUUGUCCGGAUUUACUGGGCGUAAAGAGCGCGCAGGCGGUCGUUCAAGUCGCGUGUGAAAGCCCCCGGCUCAACUGGGGAGGGUCACGCGAUACUGAUCGACUCGAAGGCAGGAGAGGGAAGUGGAAUUCCCGGUGUAGUGGUGAAAUGCGUAGAUAUCGGGAGGAACACCAGUGGCGAAGGCGACUUCCUGGCCUGUUCUUGACGCUGAGGCGCGAAAGCUAGGGGAGCAAACGGGG